AUGCGGCGGUAACGCGGCGUACUCGGUGUUCCGACAUCCCCUGUGGAGGUUACAGAGGAGACUUGACCGUGACAAUUCAAGCAUCUGGUGGACUUCCUUUAAGCUCCAAGGUCACGGCAACAUUUUGGAGCCAUACGUCUACGGCGGCGACAAAAUGGCUUCGACAGUCAUCUGGGUUGAAGGACAGCUGGAGCCUAUCCCAGCUAGCUUCGGGCAAAAGUCGGACUACAUCCUGAACUGGUCACCAGUCAGUCGCAGGGCAGAUAUCGGCAUCAUCACUGAGCGGGAAUCGAUCCCACGCUGCCCCUACCAAUAGCAGGAUGUUGGAGGAAACCGGAGUACCCACCGAAAACCCACACCGGCACUGGGAGAACAUGUUAACUCCACACAGGAAGGCCUGUAGAGAUGAUCCUGGACUUCAGCUGCACCUCACGCUGUCUAACUGCCCUCCAUCGGGACCUUCUAGUUCCGAUGUCAUCAUUUAGGGUGAUGUAGUUGGCACUCAUGUUAAAACAUUAGUUUUAUUUGGAGUUAAGUAGAAAGUAAUGCAGUAAUCUUGUGAGAAAAGUACAGAAAAGUUGCAUCACUGUUCUAUUGACAUUUAUCACCCCACGAGAUAUGAUUUUUUUUACA